CUUUUGCUGGCGACCGGCGCACGGGUGAGUAACACGUAUCCAGCCUGCCCUCUACUCGGGGAUAGCCUUUCGAAAGAAAGAUUAAUACCCGAUAGCAUAAUGAUUCCGCAUGGUUUCAUUAUUAAAGGAUUCCGGUAAAGGAUGGGGAUGCGUUCCAUUAGGUUGUUGGUGGGGUAACGGCCCACCAAGCCUUCGAUGGAUAGGGGUUCUGAGAGGAAGGUCCCCCACAUUGGAACUGAGACACGGUCCAA
rnacentral:rRNA from 1 species